GUCCACGCCGUAAACUAUGGGUGCUAGCCGUCGGUCGGCAUGCCGGUCGGUGGCGCAGCAAACGCAUUAAGCACCCCGCCUGGGGAGUACGGUCGCAAGAUUAAAACUCAAAGGAAUUGACGGGGGCCCCGCACAAGCGGUGGAGCAUGUGGUUUAAUUCGAGGCAACGCGAAGAACCUUACCAGCCCUUGACUUCCCGAUCGGGGGACCAGAGAUGGACCUCUUCAAUUGGUCGGUGACAGGUGCUGCAUGGCUGUCGU
rnacentral:rRNA from 1 species